AGUGAACGCUGGCGGUAGGCCUAACACAUGCAAGUCGAACGGCAGCACAGGAGAGCCUGCUCUCUGGGUGGCGAGUGGCGGACGGGUGAGGAAUACAUCGGAAUCUACUCUGUCGUGGGGGGUAACGUAGGGAAACUUACGCUAAUACCGCAUACGACCUACGGGUGAAAGCAGGGGAUCUUCGGACCUUGCGCGAUUGAAUGAGCCGAUGUCGGAUUAGCUAGUUGGCGGGGUAAAGGCCCACCAAGGCGACGAUCCGUAGCUGGUCUGAGAGGAUGGUCAGCCACACUGGAACUGAGACACGGUCCAGACUCCUACGGGAGGCAGCAGUGGGGAAUAUUGGACAAUGGGCGCAAGCCUGAUCCAGCCAUACCGCGUGGGUGAAGAAGGCCUUCGGGUUGUAAAGCCCUUUUGUUGGGAAAGAAAUCCAGCUGGCUAAUACCCGGUUGGGAUGACGGUACCCAAAGAAUAAGCACCGGCUAACUUCGUGCCAGCCGCCGCCGUAA
rnacentral:rRNA from 1 species